rnacentral:rRNA from 1 species
UACGUAGGGUGCAAGCGUUGUCCGGAAUUAUUGGGCGUAAAGAGCUCGUAGGCGGUUUGUCGCGUCGGCUGUGAAAACCUGGGGCUCAACCCCGGGCCUGCAGCCGAUACGGGCAAGCUAGAAUUCGGUAGGGGAGACUGGAAUUCCUGGUGUAGCGGUGAAAUGCGCAGAUAUCAGGAGGAACACCGGUGGCGAAGGCGGGUCUCUGGGCCGAUAUUGACGCUGAGGAGCGAAAGCGUGGGGAGCGAACAGG